rnacentral:rRNA from 1 species
UACGUAGGGUGCAAGCGUUAAUCGGAAUUACUGGGCGUAAAGCGUGCGCAGGCGGUGAUGCAAGUCAGAUGUGAAAUCCCCAGGCUUAACCUGGGAACUGCAUUUGUGACUGCAUUGCUGGAGUGCGGCAGAGGGGGAUGGAAUUCCGCGUGUAGCAGUGAAAUGCGUAGAUAUGCGGAGGAACACCGAUGGCGAAGGCAAUCCCCUGGGCGUGCACUGACGCUCAUGCACGAAAGCGUGGGGAGCAAACAGG